rnacentral:rRNA from 1 species
GACCGCCGUCUAAGGUCCCGGAGUUCUGCCUGAGUUAGUCUAACGAAGUCUGGUCCCUAUGACAGCUAGGAUGUUGGCUUGGAAGCAGCCAUUCAUUCAAAGAGUGCGUAACAGCUCACUAGUCGAGGGUCCGGGCAUGGAUAAUAAUCGGGUAUAAGGCAGACACCGAAGGCGCGGGAUAGCAAUUAUAAAAGUAUCGGUAGGGGGGCAUACUCACAGCGUCGAAUGGUGUACGUAAGUUAUCCUGGAGCGGUGAGUAAAGCAAAUGUAGGAAGAAGUAACGAUAAGGAGGGUUAGAUUCCCUCCCGCUGUAAGACCAAGGUUUCCCGGGCAAUGCCAAUCAGCCCGGGGUCAGUCGGGUCCUAAGUCUAAGCCGAACGGCGAUGGCGAUGGCAGAGACGGUUAAUAUUCCGUCACUGCCGCAUGGGGCGACGUGGAGACGGAGCAGUGAAACCACCGCGGGGCGACGGAAGUCCCCGUUGAAGAGUGUAGGUGUUGAGGAUGGCAGGCAAAUCCACCAUCCGAGCUGAACUUGAUAGUACGGAGUCCUCCUCGGAGGAAUCUGAUAGUGUGGGUAAUCAUACUCCCGAGAAAAUCCGCUAAGCUUAACCCAUGCGGCACCCGUACCGCAAACGGACACACGUGGUCGGGUAGAACAGACUAAGGCGUUGAGAG